CCGGACCCUGCGGAAGAAUCCACCAGCUGCUGGAUUCUCCCAUGGCGCUGAAACAGCCCCUGGGGUCAAACCUGUGGUCUUGGAUGCUUAACCUGUGGUCUUGGAUGUGGUCUUGGGGUGGAGUCUUGUGCUGUCACCCAGGCUGGAGUGCAAUGGUGUGGUCUCAGCUCACUGCAACCUCCACCUUCCAGGUUCAAGCGACUCUCCUGCCUCAGCAUCCCAAGUAGCUGGGACUACAGAGAUCAGAGGGUCUUGAUGUGUUGCUCAGACUGGUCUCGAACUCCUGGCCUCAGGUGAUCCUCCUGCCUCAGCCUCCCAAAGUGCUGUGAUUACAGGCAUAAGCCAUUACACCUGCUAGGUAGCUU